GGAGUCGGAGUUGUUUUGGGGAAUGCAGCUCCAAAAAUGGGUUGGUAAAAUUUCAUCUUAAAAGCUUAAAUAUUGGCCAGAAGACCGAUAAGCGCCACAAAGUAGAAGUGAUCCGAAAGAUGGAAAAGCCACUUUGGAAAGAGAGUCCAAACAAGUACGUGAAAAUUGUUUGGAAAGGGAGCGCGCUUGCAAACCAAGACCUUGGCCCGUGGGGUGAUUAAGCCCGGGUAUUUCUUACCGGUGCACUCACCCGCGGUCAGGCCAGCAUCGGUUUGGGUGGCUGGAUAAAGUCCACCGGAAUGUAGCUCCUCUCGGGGAGUGUUAUAGCCGGAGGUGCCAUGCAGCCCGCCUGGACCGAGGACCGCGCUUCGGCUAGGAUGCUGGCGUAAUGGUCGUAAGCGACCCGUCUGGAACCCCGGACCAAGGAGUCUAACAUCUAUGCGAGUGUUUGGGUGUCAAACCCAUGCGCGUAAUGAAAGUGAACGGAGGUGGGAACCCUUAAGGGUGCACCAUCGACCGAUCCUGAUGUCUUCGGAUGGAUUUGAGUAAGAGCAUAGCUGUUGGGACCCGAAAGAUGGUGAACUAUGCCUGAAUAGGGUGAAGCCAGAGGAAACUCUGGUGGAGGCUCGCAGCGGUUCUGACGUGCAAAUCGAUC
rnacentral:rRNA from 1 species